rnacentral:rRNA from 1 species
GGGGAAUCUUGCACAAUGCGCGAAAGCGUGAUGCAGCAACGCCGCGUGCGGGAAGAAGGCCUUAGGGUUGUAAACCGCUUUCAGUGGGGACGAAGCCUCUUGGGUGAAUAGCCUGUUGGGGUGACGGUACCUGCAGAAGAAGCGCCGGCUAACUACGUGCCAGCAGCCGCGGUAAUACGUAGGGCGCGAGCGUUGUCCGGAAUCAUUGGGCGUAAAGCGCGUGUAGGCGGCUAGGUAAGUCUGCUGUGAAAGUCCAGGGCUCAACCCUGGAAUGUCGGCGGAUACUGCUUGGCUAGAGUACGGGAGGGGCGAGUGGAAUUCCUGGUGUAGCGGUGGAAUGCGCAGAUAUCAGGAGGAACACCUAUGGCGAAGGCAGCUCGCUGGAACGUUACUGACGCUGAGACGCGAAAGCGUGGGGAGCAAAC